UCGCCAGACUCCUACGGGAGGCAGCAGUGGGGAAUAUUGCACAAUGGGGGAAACCCUGAUGCAGCGACGCCGCGUGAAGGAAGAAGUAUUUCGGUAUGUAAACUUCUAUCAGCAGGGAAGAAAAUGACGGUACCUGACUAAGAAGCCCCGGCUAACUACGUGCCAGCAGCCGCGGUAAUACGUAGGGGGCAAGCGUUAUCCGGAUUUACUGGGUGUAAAGGGAGCGUAGGCGGUUUAGCAAGUCAGGAGUGAAAGCCCGGGGCCCAACCCCGAGACUGCUCUUGGAACUGCGCGGCUGGAGUGCAGGAGGGGCAGGCGGAAUUCCUGGUGUAGCGGUGAAAUGCGUAGAUAUCAGGAGGAACACCGGUGGCGAAGGCGGCCUGCUGGACUGCGACUGACGUUGAGGCCCGAAAGCGUGGGGAGCAAACAGGAUUAGAUACCCCUGUAGCC
rnacentral:rRNA from 1 species